AGUGAACGCUGGCGGUAGGCCUAACACAUGCAAGUCGAACGGCAGCACAGUAAGAGCUUGCUCUUACGGGUGGCGAGUGGCGGACGGGUGAGGAAUACAUCGGAAUCUACUUUUUCGUGGGGGAUAACGUAGGGAAACUUACGCUAAUACCGCAUACGACCUACGGGUGAAAGCAGGGGAUCUUCGGACCUUGCGCGAUUGAAUGAGCCGAUGUCGGAUUAGCUAGUUGGCGGGGUAAAGGCCCACCAAGGCGACGAUCCGUAGCUGAUCUGAGAGGAUGAUCAGCCACACUGGAACUGAGACACGGUCCAGACUCCUACGGGAGGCAGCAGUAGGGAAUAUUGGACAAUGGGCGCAAGCCUGAUCCAGCCAUACCGCGUGGGUGAAGAAGGCCUUCGGGUUGUAAAGCCCUUUUGUUGGGAAAGAAAAGCAGCAGGUUAAUACCCCGCUGUUCUGACGGUACCCAAAGAAUAAGCACCGGCUAACUUCGUG
rnacentral:rRNA from 1 species